UCCCUGGUGGCUCAGCAGUAGAGAAUCCGCCUGCUAAUGCGGGAGGCAUGGGUUCGAUCCCUGGCCCGGGAA
rnacentral:tRNA from 1 species